GUACCCUUAGCUCAGCUGGUCAGAGCAGACGGCUCAUAACCAUCCGGUCGUAGGUUCGAGUCCCACAUGGUCCA
rnacentral:tRNA from 1 species